GUCGAGCGAUGAACAUUGAAUGAUCCCUUCGGGGUGAUUUCGAUCGGAUUACCGUCGAACGGGUGAGUAACGCGUGAGGAACCUGCCUCUUACAACGGGAUAGCCUCGGGAAACCGGGAUUAAUACCGUAUAAGACUCCGACAUCUCCUGAUGAUGAAGUCAAAGCGUUAGCGGUAAGAGAUGGCCUCGCGUCUGAUUAGCUAGUUGGCGGGGUAACGGCCCACCAAGGCGACGAUCAGUAACCGGCCUGAGAGGGUGAGCGGUCACAUUGGAACUGAGACACGGUCCAAACUCCUACGGGAGGCAGCAGUGGGGAAUCUUGCACAAUGGGGGAAACCCUGAUGCAGCGACGCCGCGUGAGCGAUGAAGGUUUUCGAAUCGUAAAGCUCUGUCCUAUGGGAAGAUAAUGACGGUACCAUGGGAGGAAGCCCCGGCUAACUACGUGCCAGCAGCCGCGGUAAUACGUAGGGGGCGAGCGUUGUCCGGAAUUACUGGGCGUAAAGGGUUCGCAGGCGGCAUGGCAAGUCCGAUGUAAAAGGCGAAGGCUCAACCUUCGUAAGCAUCGGAAACUGUCAAGCUUGAGUGAAGGAGAGGCAAGUGGAAUUCCUAGUGUAGCGGUGGAAUGCGUAGAUAUUAGGAGGAAUACCGGUGGCGAAGGCGACUUGCUGGACUUCAACUGACGCAGAGGAACGAAAGCGUGGGUAGCAAACAGGAUUAGAUACCCUGGUAGUCCACACAGUAAACGAUGAAUACUCGCUGUUUGCGAUAUACAGUAAGCGG
rnacentral:rRNA from 1 species